UACAGAGGUCUCAAGCGUUGUUCGGAUUCAUUGGGCGUAAAGGGCGCGUAGGCGGCGGGGUAAGUCUGGUGUGAAAUCUCGGAGCUCAACUCCGAAAUUGCACUGGAUACUGCUCUGCUUGAGGGUUGGAGAGGAGAUCGGAAUUCACGGUGUAGCAGUGAAAUGCGUAGAUAUCGUGAGGAAGACCAGUGGCGAAGGCGGAUCUCUGGACAAAUCCUGACGCUGAGGCGCGAAGGCUAGGGGAGCAAACAGG
rnacentral:rRNA from 1 species